CUAUCAUUAACUGAAUCCAUAGGUUAAUGAGGCGAACCGGGGGAACUGAAACAUCUAAGUACCCCGAGGAAAAGAAAUCAACCGAGAUUCCCCCAGUAGCGGCGAGCGAACGGGGAGGAGCCCAGAGCCUGAAUCAGCAUGUGUGUUAGUGGAAGCGUCUGGAAAGGCGCGCGAUACAGGGUGACAGCCCCGUACACAAAAGCGCAUGUGCUGUGAGCUCGAUGAGUAGGGCGGGACACGUGGUAUCCUGUCUGAAUAUGGGGGGACCAUCCUCCAAGGCUAAAUACUCCUGACUGACCGAUAGUGAACCAGUACCGUGAGGGAAAGGCGAAAAGAACCCCGGCGAGGGGAGUGAAAAAGAACCUGAAACCGUGUACGUACAAGCAGUGGGAGCACCCUUUGGGUGUGACUGCGUACCUU
rnacentral:rRNA from 1 species